CUUACUGGGAGAGGAUAUCAAUAGUGCUCCACCAACACAGAUUUGAUAGUUGAGUGAAUUUAUACUCGCUCAGAUUUUCUUUGGCAAUCAACGCCUUGGCUGUCUUAAAGCCGAGUCAGUUUUUGCUGUACUUUUCUUGCUUAGUGAGAAACCCUUCCUACUUUGAAACCACCUUCAAAUAAUCUUUUGCUGAAUUGGUCAUGUGAUGAGUUGGUCAUAUGAUGAGUUGGUCAUGUGAUGAAGUGGUCACGUGAUGAAGUGGUCACAUGAAGAUGGUUUUCCUGCAGAUAUUUUUAGGUCCAAAUUUAAACCCAUUACCUUUUCAUUUGUGUAUGCUCUUUUUUUCCGAAUAAAGUCAUCCAAAUUUCGACUUAUUUUAAAAUAAACUGGUAUGUUAUAUGUGAGAACAAACAAUCUUGCGAUCUAUGUUUUCAAUUUUCCUCCUUAUUUUAAAAGUUUCUGAUUUAUGAGGUGACAAUUUCCCAAAACGUAUUGUGUUAACAGUGAUCAUGUGAUAUGAUAAAGUGAUCAUGUGAUAUGAGUGAUCAUGUGAUGAAAUGAAGUGUGUCAUGUGGUAAAGUGAUCAUGUCAUGUGAUGAUAUAUUUAGAUUUUCUUUGUGUGGGGUGCUGUUUUCAGAAUCUUUACAGUAAAUAGCAAAAUGUUGAUGAUACUUGUAUGUGUUCAUUAAUUUCUGUACUGCUGAAAACAAAUACUGUGUUAAUAUUUGUGAUAACAGUAAAACUAUUAAAUAAAAGACA